GGCCUUUCCUUCAGACUCUGCUCCACACUUUGUCUCCGUAUUUUCUUCUUUUCAGAGAAUGAGACCAUGACCAUCAUGGCCGGGAGAAGGACAACAGGCAACGCAGGAAUGAUGCUAGAGUUGUAGCUGAGAACUUACAUCCUGAUCAACAAUUAUGAAACAGGGAGACUAAUUGGAAAUGGUGUAUGCUUCUACCCAUAAAGCCCUCCCCCAGCAACAUACCUCCUUCAACAAGGCCACACCUCUUUAUCCUUCUCAAAUAUCUCCAUCAUCUGGGGGCCAAGCAUUAAAAUAUAUGAGUCUGUGGGGCCACUCUUACUUAAA